UACGUAGGGUGCAAGCGUUAAUCGGAAUUACUGGGCGUAAAGCGUGCGCAGGCGGUUUUGCAAGACAGAUGUGAAAUCCCCGGGCUUAACCUUGGAAUUGCAUUUGUGACUGCACGGCUAGAGUGUGUCAGAGGGGGGUAGAAUUCCACGUGUAGCGGUGAAAUGCGUAGAUAUGUGGAGGAAUACCGAUGGCGAAGGCAGCUCACUGGGAUAACACUGACGCUGAUGCACGAAAGCGUGGGGAGCAAACAGG
rnacentral:rRNA from 1 species